rnacentral:lncRNA from 1 species
CCAAUUGAUGUAUUUUAUACUCUUUCUUCUCUCUAACUAGUAAGCAUUUGAUUGGCGGCUAGUACUUGAAAAUUGUGGGCUGCCAUGACUGCGACAAUGAGGUUAUUCCAAACAGGAUGAUUCCAGAAUGUAGGGGACCAUGGGGGCUUUCUUUUAUCUGAAGAAUCUUGUUGCUUGACAAAUUAGAGACCUUCAAUGUGCUGCAGACUCGGAUUCCCUCUGUAUAAUUGCAAAGAAUGUACCUCUCUUCUUCCUAGUGACGAGUUCUUGAUGUAGAUGGAGCUGACCUUACUUGAAAACACAUAACGGCACGCCAUGUGUAUAAUUUUGAGCGGUGAACUGUAGACUAAUAUACAUGUUAUGAUUUCGAUUAACUUGGCAUUUUCUCGUCCAACAAAAAAAAAAAAAAAACUUAUCAUUUUACUCCUAGAACUAUAUCAACAUUGUCAACUCCAGACUUCUUUCUUCAGCCACUUUGUCCCGUGAAUUAUACUAAAUUGGUCAAUCUACCCCCUUCACUGUUAUUCCUAACAAUUCCACUCAAGAUGUCGUAAAGUCACGUACUAACUUUUGAGGACCUCUUGAUCUUUACAAAAAGUGCUCAAAAAUAAAUCAAGUGUUGAUGAUGUGACUUUCCAAAAUGAAUACGGCGAUAAACGAUUAAGAAGCGUACUAACUUUUGAGGACCUCUUGAUCUUUACAAAAAGUGCUCAAAAAUAAAUCAAGUGUUGAUGAUGUGACUUUCCAAAAUGAAUACGGCGAUAAACGAUUAAGAAGCCAUCAAAAGUGAGUCAUGCGUUAAGUACGUGACUUUAUUUGACAGCAUUUUG